GCAGUAUGCAUUAUCAUGUCUGCCAAAGAAUAGUGAAAAAGCAGUAACUGUAAAGCAUACUACAUCACUGCCUCUUUUUGAAAGAAAAAAAAAGUUAAACGUUAAAUUAUCAUUCAUGUCAUUUAUAGUAGCCAUCUAUUUUCAUCUCUGAUGCAACAAAUUAUAUUUGAUUCAGUAAAAUGCCAAUUGAACAAGACGAAUUCACGACUCUUUUCAUGUAUGUGCUCAGACUAGGGCCACGGUUGGAGGGUGCUGCUGCAAGUGGAUCAGGCCCACCUUCGAAGAAGAAAGUUGUAAUGCUGGUACUCCGUGUAAACGACAACAGGCACCCUACCAAAACUGGAUGAUGAAGUUUGUCGCCUGGAAGGUAUCUCCGAAGACAGAACUUUCCACACCUCCAAAGACAGUACCACCGCGGAUUGUUGAUUCAAUUUUUGUGUGUUUUUUGCAAGUUUUUUCAGUGACAUAUCAUGGGCUAAGUAGUAAGUACCACCAACACCUACAAAUCACCUGAAGUUUUUCUCUUUCUGAAGCAACAUGACUAAAUUAGUCUGUGCACUAUUAGCACUAAGGUGUCAUGGAACGAAUAAGUCAAUACAUUAUGCAUAAUAACUAGUUGUCCUUCUGCUACACCUACCAUGUAAAGCAGUUUCGUUUGAGAA